rnacentral:rRNA from 1 species
CCUUCGGGGUGUUUNAAUAGAGAACGGGUGAGUAACACGUGGGCAAUCUGCCCUUCACUCUGGGACAAGCCCUGGAAACGGGGUCUAAUACCGGAUACGACACACGACCGCAUGGUCUGUGUGUGGAAAGCUCCGGCGGUGAAGGAUGAGCCCGCGGCCUAUCAGCUUGUUGGUGGGGUGAUGGCCUACCAAGGCGACGACGGGUAGCCGGCCUGAGAGGGCGACCGGCCACACUGGGACUGAGACACGGCCCAGACUCCUACGGGAGGCAGCAGUGGGGAAUAUUGCACAAUGGGCGAAAGCCUGAUGCAGCGACGCCGCGUGAGGGAUGACGGCCUUCGGGUUGUAAACCUCUUUCAGCAGGGAAGAAGCGAAAGUGACGGUACCUGCAGAAGAAGCGCCGGCUAACUACGUGCCAGCAGCCGCGGUAAUACGUAGGGCGCAAGCGUUGUCCGGAAUUAUUGGGCGUAAAGAGCUCGUAGGCGGCUUGUCACGUCGGAUGUGAAAGCCCGGGGCUUAACCCCGGGUCUGCAUUCGAUACG